UACAGAGGUCCCAAGCGUUGUUCGGAUUCACUGGGCGUAAAGGGUGCGUAGGCGGUUGGGUAAGUCUGACGUGAAAUCUCGGAGCUCAACUCCGAAAUGGCGUCAGAAACUGCUCGGCUAGAGGGUUGGAGGGGAGACUGGAAUUCUCGGUGUAGCAGUGAAAUGCGUGGAGAUCGAGAGGAACACCGGUGGCGAAGGCGAGUCUCUGGACAACUCCUGACGCUGAGGCACGAAAGCUAGGGGAGCAAACAGG
rnacentral:rRNA from 1 species